rnacentral:tRNA from 1 species
CUAGCUCAGUUGGUAGAGCACGACCUUGCCAAGGUCGGGGUCGCGAGUUCGAGUCUCGUUUCCCGCUCCA